rnacentral:rRNA from 1 species
CAGUAGCCGCGGUAAAACGGAGGGUGCAAGCGUUAAUCGGAAUUACUGGGCGUAAAGCGUGCGUAGGCGGUUCGUUAAAUCUGUUGUGAAAGCCCCGGGCUCAACCUAGGAAUGGCAAUGGAUACUGGCGAGCUAGAGUGUGUCAGAGGAUGGUGGAAUUCCCGGUGUAGCGGUGAAAUGCGUAGAGAUCGGGAGGAACAUCAGUGGCGAAGGCGGCCAUCUGGGACAACACUGACGCUGAGGCACGAAAGCGUGGGGAGCAAACAGGAUUAGAUACCCGAGUAGUCCCUGUCUCUUAUAC